rnacentral:misc_RNA from 1 species
AGGAUCAUUACAGUAGUCAUCCGGGUUGCCGCAAGGCCUCCCGGGUAACCUACCACCCUUUGUUUAUUACACUUUGUUGCUUUGGCAGGCCUGCCCUCGGGCUGCUGGCUCCGGCCGGCGAGCGUCUGCCAGAGGACCUAAACUCUGUUUGUCUAUAAUGUCUGAGUACUAUAUAAUAGUUAAAACUUUCAACAACGGAUCUCUUGGUUCUGGCAUCGAUGAAGAACGCAGCGAAAUGCGAUAAGUAAUGUGAAUUGCAGAAUUCAGUGAAUCAUCGAAUCUUUGAACGCACAUUGCGCCCCCUGGUAUUCCGGGGGGCAUGCCUGUCCGAGCGUCAUUACAACCCUCAAGCUCAGCUUGGUGUUGGGCCCCGCCGCCCCGGCGGGCCCUAAAGUCAGUGGCGGUGCCGUCCGGCUCCGAGCGUAGUAAUUCUUCUCGCUCUGGAGGUCCGGUCGUGUGCUUGCCAGCAACCCCCAAUUUUUUUCAGGUUGACCUCGGAUCAGGUAGGGAUACCCGCUGAACUUAAGCAUAUCAAUAAGCGGAGGAAAAGAAACCAACAGGGAUUACCUCAGUAACGGCGAGUGAAGCGGUAACAGCUCAAAUUUGAAAUCUGGCCUCACGGUCCGAGUUGUAAUUUGUAGAGGAUGCUUCGAGCAUGGUCUGGCCUAAGUUCCU